GUGCCAGCAGCCGCGGUAAUUCCUCCAAUAGCGUAUAUUAAAGUUGUUGCAGUUAAAAAGCUCGUAGUUGAACCUUGGGCCUGGCUGGCCGGUCCGCCUCACCGCGUGUACUGGUCCGGCCGGGCCUUUCCUUCUGGGGAGCCGCAUGCCCUUCACUGGGCGUGUCGGGGAACCAGGACUUUUACUUUGAAAAAAUUAGAGUGUUCAAAGCAGGCCUUUGCUCGAAUACAUUAGCAUGGAAUAAUAGAAUAGGACGUGCGGUUCUAUUUUGUUGGUUU
rnacentral:rRNA from 1 species